UACGAAGGGGGGCUAGCGUUGCUCGGAAUUACUGGGCGUAAAGGGCGCGUAGGCGGAUAGUUUAGUCAGAGGUGAAAGCCCAGGGCUCAACCCUGGAAUUGCCUUUGAUACUGGCUAUCUUGAGUUCGGGAGAGGUGAGUGGAACUCCGAGUGUAGAGGUGAAAUUCGUAGAUAUUCGGAAGAACACCAGUGGCGAAGGCGACUCACUGGCCCGAUACUGACGCUGAGGCGCGAAAGCGUGGGGGAGCAAACAGG
rnacentral:rRNA from 1 species